CAAGCCUGAUGCAGCCAUGCCGCGUGUAUGAAGAAGGCCUUCGGGUUGUAAAGUACUUUCAGCAGUGAGGAAGGCAGGUUCGUUAAUAGCGUGCUUGUUUGACGUUAGCUGCAGAAGAAGCACCGGCUAACUCCGUGCCAGCAGCCGCGGUAAUACGGAGGGUGCGAGCGUUAAUCGGAAUUACUGGGCGUAAAGCGCAUGCAGGUGGUUCGUUAAGUCAGAUGUGAAAGCCCGGGGCUCAACCUCGGAAUUGCAUUUGAAACUGGCGGACUAGAGUACUGUAGAGGGGGUAGAAUUUCAGGUGUAGCGGUGAAAAUGCGUAGAGAUCUGAAGGAAUACCGGUGGCGAAGGCGGCCCCCUGGACAGAUACUGACACUCAGAUGCGAAAGCGUGGGGAGCAAACAGGAUUAGAUACCCUGGUAG
rnacentral:rRNA from 1 species